rnacentral:rRNA from 1 species
UACAGAGGGUGCAAGCGUUAAUCGGAAUUACUGGGCGUAAAGCGUGCGUAGACGGUUACAUAAGUCGGGUGUGAAAGCCCCGGGCUCAACCUGGGAAUUGCAUUCGAGACUGCGUAGCUAGGGUGCGGAAGAGGGAAGCGGAAUUUCCGGUGUAGCGGUGAAAUGCGUAGAUAUCGGAAGGAACGCCGGUGGCGAAAGCGGCGUGCUGGAUCUCUUCUGACGCUGAGGCGCGAAAGCCAGGGGAGCAAACGGG